rnacentral:tRNA from 1 species
GCGAGAGUGCCCGAUAAAAGGACAGAACUGAUAAAACUGUUAUGCAACAAUGCCUCUGGCU